rnacentral:rRNA from 1 species
CCUCUCGGUUCGAAGCAGAAGGGUAGGAUAGGGUGGGUUGGCAGAGGGGGUCGGGGAGGAUGGCCGCUUGGGCGAGGAGGCGGAGCCAAUGACCCCCGCGGUGGCGGCGGCGGAGUGGCCCCAGGGGCUGGAGGACCGGCGUCUGUUGCGGACCCGGUUCCUGGCCGUCAAGAGCCAGAUCGAGCGCACGACGGUGGUAGCCGUCCAGAGGAAGAGGAAGAGCACCCUGCGCCGGUUCGGCGGCCGUGGCGUCACGGAGAGGAGGCGGAGAGAAAGGCCACCGGUGGCCCCGUGAAGGUCGAGGAGGCCGCCGCCUCGUCGUGCUCACCUCGAUCCACUUUUUCUCGCAUGUGUUCGGUGCGGGCAGAGGAAAUAGCAGAGGAUCACGUCGACGUCGACGCCCGGGGGGUCGAAGGGAGGGGCGGCGGCCUGGAAGAGCGCGACGAGCAGCGAAGCAAGUCGGUCGUGGGGCUGGAGCAGCAGCACCACAGCCUCCUCGACCCCCUGUUCUCAUAUCCUAUCCGUGCGAGCAUGGGAAAUAGCAGAGGAGCACGCACGUGUUGACGUCCGGGGAGUCAGAGGGGAGGCGACCUACCGGUGGAGCGCGGUGAGCAGUGGAUCCGGUCGGUCGUGGGGCUGAAGCAUCAGCGCCGCCGCUUCCUCCUUUCCUUUAUCAAAGCCGAAGUGGUGUCGUCGACGUCGUCGUUGAUGGUGGCGGUCAUGUUGCCUGGGACGCCGUCAACACGCCGGUGCUGCCGCUGCUGGUGGAACUAUGCAAGUCGCUGCUGGUGCAACACUGCUGCUCAUGGUGCCCAACGUCGUCGGCGCGUAACUCUCCUACCUUCUGCCCACCGGGUCACCCGGCAACGUCGAUGGUUCAACAACAUGGUGAUCACCCGAAUGCCCAUCAAAAUUGUUGGCAUGUGUUGCGGCUCUCAUGGUCCUACUGCCAACGGUGGGCGUCCAAGAGGCACUUGACCGCCGUGGCAUCCCUCGUCCUCAAACUGCGCCGGUUCGGCGGCCGCUCUGGCAUGCACGUCCCAGCGGUAGGUGGGCGAAUUCAGCUGAAGGAGCCGGAGUACAGAGGACCCCUCCAACGUGCCAAAGAUUAGCACAUGGAGCUACCGGAGCCGGACGGCCCAACCUCACCGCCAACAGAAAAGCGCACGAUGGUGCAUGGAGUCAUCAUCCAUGUUGGAUCGGUGGAGGAUCACAUCACCACACGUUGUCACAGCUUCACUUUCUGUGUUUUUGAUAUGGUUGAUGGCACCAGCCCUUCUCCUUUCGAAGAUGGAGGUCACGGGUUUGCAGGGGGCA